AGUAUAGCUCAGCAGCAUGAGUGCCUGCCUGGAAAGCACAAGAUCCUGAGUUCAAUUCCCAGUGCU
rnacentral:tRNA from 1 species